UGUUUUUUAUACAUGUUUGAUAGGGAUAGAAAAAUCAAGUUUUAAUGAAUAUAAUAAGGUAAAAGAUCUAGUACUUGAUCACUCCAUGUAUUAGUAUAGCUAUAUUUAGUAAAUAUAGAUAUACAAAUACAUGAAGGAUCGAAUGUAUAUGUAAGCAUGUGUAUAUACAAGCAUAAGAGGGGAGAGGCUGAAGAGUAGGGAGUUGGAGAUCCUUCUGACUUAAGAUGUUACUUCACCCCUGCAAGAGCCAAUACAAUUUGAAAGAACUUUAGCGCCUUGAGUUACACGUGAUCUGGAUGCACUCAUAACACGGGUUAGCUACAGCCAAAAGUAAACAAAGAGGAAGCAUUUCGUCUAUUGACUAUAUUUAGACUGACACGCUUAUCGUCAUAAAUUAUAGUCAUUUGUGUAGAUCUCAUGCUCAUGAGUACGUGUCUGAUAAAUGUAAUUAGAUGAAAUGUGAUUUUUCUGAUAUCGUGAAAUAAAUCAAUUGCAUUAUUUAGUUGCUUUAUUCGAACAGCCAAAGUGAAAUCUUAUUUUAUUGAAACAUAAAUUGUAUGUGGUGAUCAGUUAUCUGAUUAGUGAAUUAUGUAAAUAAUAGCCUACAAUAAGGACUGAAAAUUUGUAAAGUAUAUAAUAGUGUAGCUUAAUAAAACUUUCAAACCUCAAUUUAGUAUUAUUUAAUCAGAUAAGAGUGAUAGUUUUACUUCUAUCCAUUUUAAUUAAGACAGGCUAUUGUAUUUUAAUUAUAAAUUCAUUGUGAUGAGUUAUUACAAGUGAAAUUGAAGAAUGAAGCGAGGCCCUUAUAAAUUAUAUUUGGGUCCUGAUGGUGACGUCGUUAUACCGCGAUCAACUUUUUAUGACAAAAUAAAAAAAAUUCGUUGCGCUGAUACAACUGCAAAUAAAAGUAAUCAACUUUACAAUCAAACUGUUGAUGAUCAUGAUACAAAUGCAACUAAUUUAUUGCUCACGUGGAAAUUUCUGAAGAUAACAACUUAUCGUCAGUAGAAAAUGUGGAUGAAAUCAUUGCUUCUCCUAUCUAUGAUCAAAGCUCAACUACAAUCCAUACGGUGCCUGAUUCUUGGAUAUAUGGAGACUAUGAUACAGAAACCCUGGACCGAGAAAUUUGGUUUGACGCUGAAGACUCACCAUCGGCUGAAGAUUUUUGUAUGGGUUCUAAUAACAAGUUUAACCAGGUAUAUAUGUUGUCAAAUAAUAAAUCAAACUAAUUAUAA